rnacentral:rRNA from 1 species
AUGCUCUUUUGGACCGUUGUGUUGUGCUCUUCCGAGAUUGAAGUGCAGGUGCUCAGAAAGUCGCAGGCCUUCAGGUUGAAGAUCCUACUAUUCCUCUCUUUCCAGGUCAUCCACCAUAUGGUCAUGCAAAGCGAAGGGAACUCCUGUCGACGCUGCACAGGAAGUAUCUCCAAGGAAUCAACCUCUCAUGAACGCAUGAGAGAGCUUGAACAAAUGCUUGCAACUCAAGAGUCACAGGUGAAAGCCGCAGCUAAUAAGUAUCAACAAGACCUGAGUUCAAAAAUAGUUUCCCAACAAUAG